CUGCGCGGAGUUUGACGGGUCGUAAGAAAAUAGUUCAUCAUGGCCGACCAAGAAGAUGUUCAAACAACCAAGAGAUAUGUUAGUCCAAAGACAGAAUGAGGAGCGAACCUUUACCACUUAUUUGUGUAGAAGAGUAUGGUACCAGGGGUGCAGCUGACUCUGAUUCCCGUGUUGUUCUAAUGAAAAAAGGCAGAUGAGGCACUGGAAUCCAAAUGUAAUCAAAAAUGCCAUUGUAUGAGGAUUGACCUGCAAUGCAUGGCAAUCAUCUUAACACAACUGCAACGCCUUCCUUGGAAAAAUGAGUGCAAGAUGGAAACAAAGCGUUCAGUGGAACAUCUUGUCAUCUCAAAUAUUUGAUGACUUACAUAUUGAUGUGAAGUUGAAGAUAAAAGUCAUCUGUUGGUCCGUGAUUAUUAAAUAAAUCCGAACAUAUAUUUUAAAAGGGUAAAAUGAUAAAGGAUUUAUAUACGCUUUAAGUGGUUUUCCUAUAUUAUGGAGGGAAGAUAACUUCAAAAACAGAAACAGAUGGCAUCGGCAGACCAAAUAAAGGAGAACUAUUUUGUUCAGUUCAAUUUUUAAGACUGCAGAAAAUCUGUUAAUAGAGCACAUCCUUGCAAAUGCCAUAUUGUAAACUGGGCUCUUUAAAAUGUGAAAAGGUGAAAGUGGUCUAGAGGAUAAGCCCCACAUUCAAGGUUGUGAGUUCAAGACCUCCAAGAUACUUUCUCUUGACCUCAGGAAAAGGAUGUCCAUACUUGUUUCUUCUUAGGCAACAGACUUAAGAGUGAUUUUGUAAGCUUCCAGCUUGCAUAGCAAUCUGAUAAGGCAUAAAAUAAGUACUAGCUGACUUGCAAACAGUUUUUCCAUUUGUGUUGAUUUAUUUUUCAGUCUGUUGGAAUGUUUAUUAGAAGUGAUGCGCAUUGCUUACUGCAACCAAUAUUAAUUUUCUUUAUUAAGUUGAAUUUAACAAACACAUAACAUGGCUUGUGAUUUUACGGAUGGCUGAUACAUGUUUAUUUCGUUGAUUGUAUGAGUUUAUUUUCUCAAAUGAUGUAAUAAAAGUUGAAUGAAUGAAUGACUGUCCUUUUUUGUUUGUCCUUUUUUGUUUGAAGAAAAUGUGUUGAGGUUUUGGCAUAGCAUAGUGUCAUCAUCAUCAUCACCAUUGUUGUGUACAAAUAAAACAUUCAAAACAAUGUAUUAAAAACCAAACUGUCAAGCCAAGUACUCAAAGAGGCACAAGGAUAUUGCUAAAGAGACCGGUAAUACAAUUAGACAAAUAAAAUGUAAAGAAAGAUCUAUAAUUCUGACACAUGGUAAUGCUUUAGUCCUCUCAUUGUGUGUUUAUGGUUAAAGAGGAGACAUACAGUAUAUUUUGUAAUGAAGACUUAAAUUUGUAUGGCAACUUAAAGCCAUAUAUGGGGAUUAAGCGCCAGAAAUAUUGUGAAGUCUCCCAAAAGACUCAAUGCACUUAAAAGGUCUUGCCACAGAAAUGAAAGUAAAAAUGGGAGCAAAAACUAAUUUAUCAUUAGUUUUACAUUGGAUUGCAUACACAUGGCUCUGUUAUUACUUGACUAAUAUUAAAAAUAAAAUUAAGAGACAUGUUGAUCCAAACUGUAAUUAUUCUUGUUUGCAUUUUAUGGAGUUGGACAUAAAAGAGUCAUUUGGUGAAGAGUGAUCUAAAGGCUAAUAAUAAUUCAAAAUAGGUUAAGUAUUAUUGAAAAAAGUCUGGUAUACAUUGCUGAAAAGCUUAGUAACCUGGCUAAAUAUUUGUUUAAGGCUUUUAUUUACAAAAAAAUGAAUCAGUUGAGUAUCUUAUCAGUUACUCUUUUGGUGUUGUUGCUUUUAAUUAAAAAUGACAAUUUACUCAAAAAUAUUGAGACUAAUAAUUAUAGAUUUAGACAAGUAUAAUGUGUA